GACGAACGCUGGCGGCGUGCCUAAUACAUGCAAGUCGAACGAACAGACGAGGAGCUUGCUCCUUUGACGUUAGUGGCGGACGGGUGAGUAACACGUGGAUAACCUACCUCUCAGCUUGGGAUAACUUCGGGAAAUCGGUGCUAAUACCGGAUAUUCUAUACAUCAGAAUGGUUUCAUAGUAAAAGCCGGUUUUGCUGUCACUUAUAGAUGGAUCCGCGCCGCAUUAGCUAGUUGGUAAGGUAACGGCUUACCAAGGCAACGAUGCGUAGCCGACCUGAGAGGGUGAUCGGCCACACUGGAACUGAGACACGGUCCAGACUCCUACGGGAGGCAGCAGUAGGGAAUCUUCGGCAAUGGACGAAAGUCUGACGGAGCAACGCCGCGUGAGUGAUGAAGGUCUUCGGAUCGUAAAACUCUGUUAUUAGGGAAGAACAAAUGUGAAAGUAACUAUUCACGUCUUGACGGUACCUAAUCAGAAAGCCACGGCUAACUACGUG
rnacentral:rRNA from 1 species